AGCUGCUCCGAAAAUAUCAUGAAUACGACAAUUAUGUGCACAUCAUUUAGUAUACGUGAUAUUUUAGGAGCAGCUA
ensembl:ncRNA mir-2283 mir-2283 stem loop